UGUGUGUGUGUGUGCAGAUGCAGGCGGAAGGGGAGAGAGCACACGCCGUUGUGGAGCUGAGGCUCGUCUGAGGCGGGCAGGGUUGGUAUAGAGGGGGGCUGGGCUGAUGACAGCAUCCUCCGCCAGCUCAGUGGCUCCACACCUGACUGCCUCCAUCAGAUGAUGCACACAGAUGAUGAUGAUGGAGCUCUCCGCGCUGCCGGGUUAUCCUGCUGCCACCAUUUCGCAUGUCCACUCGCCGACACAUGUUCUACAAACGCCGUGAUCGCCUGCUCUGAAUUGGGAUUUUAUUUAUUUAUUUAUUUUAUUGUAAUGAUUCAUCAUUCGGCGGAUUUAGCGUGAGGAGCUGAGGUCGAGGAUCGAGGUGGUCUUUGUUUUUCCUGGAGGAAAAAAAAAAGGCAGUGAGUGGACUGAUGCUGCGUCGCUGGUAAACACCAGAAAUGGGUGUCAUUGAACCAAAGCUACCAAUCGCGGUUCGUUCUUGGACCAGAUCCUCGUUUUUCUUAUGAUAAAAACAUCUGCACAAUCCAGGUCUUUAUCAUCUACAAGUUGCUACACUGAGCAGGCUUCAGUCAAGCAAACAAAUGGUCCAAUCAAUAGCCACUGGACAGAAUUUGCCAUAGGGAGGAUAUCAAUAACACGCUAAUACACUCGACACACACAUAAACAAACACACACACACACAGGCACACAUGGCUCUGGAGAACUCGGUCUUCCCCUCCCUCCCGGACUCCCUCUCGCUUCCCGUGGAGGAGAAGGGGGAAGGGGAUGAUGUGGAAGUGGCCACCGAGGCUACCGCCUCCACCGGAGUCUUCAACCUGUCGGACGAGCUGGGUCACGUCGUCACCACGGAGACGGCACCGUCCCCUCCAGUCAAGGUCAAAAGGUCGUUCCAGGCCAAGCUGGCGGAAAGGGAGGCCACAGCCAAUCAGACCAGGAAAAAGAUCCAGCCGGAGAAGGAGAGGGGGCGAUUCGGGUGGGCUCGGGCUCGGCGUAAGAGGCAGCGCUACGUGGAGAAGAACGGUCGCUGCAAUGUCCAGCACGGUAACAUGCGGGAGACGUACCGCUACCUGACGGACAUCUUCACCACGCUGGUGGACCUCAAUUGGCGCUGCUCGCUCUUCGUGUUCGUCAUGGCCUACGCCGUCACAUGGCUCUUCUUCGGGGCCAUCUGGUACCUCAUAGCCUACUGUAGGGGUGAUCUGGACCAUCUGGAGGAUGAGACGUGGACGCCGUGCGUCAACAACGUCAACGGCUUCAUCUCGGCCUUCCUCUUCUCCAUCGAGACGGAGACGACCAUUGGCUACGGUCACCGCGUCAUCACGGACCAGUGUCCGGUGGGCACCAUGCUGCUGCUGCUGCAAGCUAUACUGGGCUCAAUGGUCAACGCCUUCAUGGUCGGCUGUAUGUUUGUGAAGAUCUCACAGCCCAACAAACGGGCGGAGACGCUGGUGUUCUCCAAACACGCCGUCAUCUCUCUAAGAGACGACAAGCUCUGUCUGAUGUUCAGGGUGGGCGACCUUCGGAGCUCUCACAUCGUCGGGGCCAACAUGAGGGCAAAGCUCAUCAAGUCCAAACAGACUCAGGAGGGUGAGUUCAUCCCGCUGGACCAGACAGACAUCAGCGUGGGCUUCGAGACGGGCGACGAUCGUCUCUUCUUGGUCUCGCCGCUGGUGAUCUCCCACGAGAUCGACGCACAUUCGCCCUUCUGGGACAUGUCGCAGUCCCAGCUGGAGAAGGAGGACUUUGAGAUCGUGGUCAUCCUGGAGGGGAUGGUGGAGGCAACCGGGAUGACGUGCCAGGCGAGGAGCUCCUAUCUAGCGGAGGAGGUGAUGUGGGGUCACCGGUUUAGCCCGAUGAUGUCACUGGCGGAGGGCUUCUUCGACAUUGACUACGGAGCCUUUCACCACACGUUUGAGGUGGUCACACCCUCCUGCUCGGCACGAGAGCUCUCAUUGGCGGCGGCCAGACUCGACGCUCACCUCUACUGGUCCAUCUCCAGCAGGCUGGAUGAAGAACCCACUCUGACCAACCAGGCGGCCAAGCAACCGGACAGCGGCUCGGCCAACAGCAAAGGAGGGGAGCCGACCUUCAUCGUGGGAGAGAUGACGGACAUCCAGGAGCAAACGGGACUGGGCGAGCUGAACGGCAGCGUCGCCACCGACCAAUCGGAAUCCGAGGCCUAGGACAGAGAAUGUUUACAAAGACGUUCAGUAUAUCACCACCACACCACGUUAGUGUUAGCAGAUCUUUUCUUUCAAAGCAAACGAGUAGUUUCAUGAAGCUCAAUUCUACAUAUGCCAUAUCUUAUGUUACCACAUGAAGGAGUUUAUUUCUUUGUCUUAUUUCUAUGUUGAUCUUUGUUACAAGUGUACUGUAUGUGCGAUAUCUAAUUUUUUCAAUCUGUUGUGUCAGCUCCAAUCACCCUGGCCUAUAUCUACAUUUAAAUGACAAUACUAUGCUUUAGACGGGGGUCAACAAUAGUACAUCCUGCAGACCGAGGCAGGUAGAGGUCAUUAGUUUCGACAAGGUGACACGGUGUUUGUUUGUGCACAUCGUGGGAUUGUUCACAUUUAAAAAAUAAAUUAAAAAUAGGUACAGUGCAUAGACGCUUUAAUGUCACCUGUGCAUGAAUAUCACUAGAUGAUAUUGAGGUAUAGACCGAAAUUGUAGUAACCUCAAAAUUUCUUUAGAUGCGAAGAUUGUUUUGAAGAUUCGUUGUGCAUCAGGUGUUAACACUUUGGGAAAGUAACACCAGCCCACAGCCGCUGGUAUAUUUGUCUACUCUGCUAGAAAAAACUUCUGGUAACAAACCAAACGAGUCAUUUGGUGCUAGAAAAACAUUAGAGAAAUCUACAGUGGACAAAGCAGGUUCCCUGCCCUGGUUUAAACCAUUUCACUAACACUUCAUAAGGGUACAAAUCAUAUACUUAAGUGCAUGACGAUGAUUUAAAGCGGGAUGUCUCGUGAACUCACGGUUGCUCACCGUUAAAUGAUCAAACUUUAUUUCAGACCCACGUGUUUGCUCAGCAGAGCUCAACAUGUUCUCACAAAUAUCAUCAAAGUGUUCGCACAUACAUAACAAACGUAAAUACAUGUUUACGUCACUGGAAUCUAUUGUUGACUUCAGCAACAAGAAUUCAUGAUACAUCCAGCUUUAAACCAUUAGUCAUGCAUUAAGUAUAUGCUUUAUUUGAUUUCGAGCAUUAUGUUUGUGGCAUAACAUCAGGCUGAAAUCUGCUGUUUUGCUGCCCUCUCUGGUCAAAAUGAUCUCUGUUGCACCUUUAACCACACCCAGCAGUGAUGCCACCAGGUCCUGAAGUACACCUGUUAAAGUAAAGUCAAACCACCAGAGGUCAGCACAAAAGCAAAAGCUUUUCAGGGAGCGUAAACGUUUCUCUUUAAUAACACUAAUAUGACUUUGCUGACAUUCCUAGCUGCACUUUCACAUCAUGGUGAAAAAGGUAUCUAAAAACCUUUAACGUAGAGACGGUCCAACACUCGAGUGUGUCUGUGUUUUUCUUUUUUUUCGUUUCACGUACGACGUGUGUAGCACAAGGAUUAUCUCUAUUUUGUCUUUUGUCCCCAGCCAAGUAGAAAUUAAAAGCACAACAGUGUCCUGCUCAGUUCAGCCCAAACACCUGCUUCUGCUGCUGCUGAGAUUAAUUGAUCCAAAGAUGUCAUCUGACAAAUGUGUCAGGACACAGAAAAGUGAAAAAAGGCUGAAGGCCUAAACUAUAUCACAGAGCAUAGGCUACAACUAUAUUAGAAUAUAUUUGUCUGCUCUUUCUUACCACAAUUCUUUAAUUUAGCAAUAUUAAAUCAAUACUGGAACGCAGCCAGUUAAAUUUAAUCAAGCGCUGUACUUAAGCACAAUUUCAAGGCACCUACGCUUCACUUGAGCAUUUCCAUUUUAUGCUGCUGCAGUCUGUACAUUCAUUUAAAGCUAUAGUUACAUAUUAAACUCAAGGUUUUAUGCAGACUGCAGAUUUUAUGCACAUAACAGGAACAUUUUUAUAAAAUAUAAUUAACUGCUACUCAACAUUUACAGCUGCAGUAUUAAAACACCGCUCAGACAUUAUUGAUGAUAAAACACAGGCAAAGGAGCCACUUCUGCAGUGUUUGUACAUAUUGUGGUACUGCUACUUUUACUUAAGUCAAACAUAAAUACUUCUUGACCUGUAUAAAAAACACAUAAACAGAAGCAGUAUGGAGAAUCUACCUAAUAUUAUUUGUGUUCUCCAAAAUUAUUAGACGCACAAAUGAGGAGAACCUACUGUAUUAAUCAUUAGGUUACUCAUUAGACUGCUUUCUAGUACAACUGUAUUUAUUGACCUCAAAAAAAGAUUUGCACCUUGAGCUAAUGAAAUCUACAAUUUUGUCCAAUUGAACCUGGUAAGAUUUUUAUGUUAUGUAGUAAAAGAAGUGGAGGAUAGAAGAAGAAGAAAGACUUCAGAUGAUUGAAAUGAUCAGAUGAGUAAAAGGAGCAAUAACACAAUAAAGAAAUAAUGAUAU